rnacentral:lncRNA from 1 species
CCAGCCCAAUCAAGAAAUCCAUCCAUACUUAGUUGAAAAUCAGGCCAAAUUGUCAAAGUGGCCCAAGUUGUAAAGUUUUAUUUUUAUUUUUAUUUAUUUAUUUAUUUAUUUACUUAGUUUAAAUUUUUAUGUCAAUAUCCAGUCCAAGAGUCCCAGAUAAAAUGACCUUUGACCGAAUUUCCAUAUUAAAAUAAUUAGGAG